rnacentral:rRNA from 1 species
UACGGAGGAGGCAAGCGUUAUCCGGAAUUAUUGGGCGUAAAGCGUCCGCAGGUGGCUAUUCAAGUCUGCGGUCAAAGACUGGGGCUUAACCCUGGAAAGGCCGUGGAAACUGAAGAGCUAGAGUGCAGUAGGGGUAGAGGGAAUUCCCGGUGUAGCGGUGAAAUGCGUAGAGCUCGGGAAGAACAUCGGUGGCGAAAGCGGCUCUCUGGGACGGUACUGACGCUGAGACGCGAAAGCGUGGGGAGCGAACAGG